AGUCCCCCACCAGCCAGAGACUAAGACCCGUGCCAACAGCCCGUUCGCCAGUUUAAAAAGAUAACAAACCAUGCUUGUCUGAAAGACCAGCUAUGGGCUGGAGAGAUGGCUCAGGAGUUAAGACUUGCUAUGAGGGAUCAAUGGUACAGCCGUCAGAUGCUGGUAACCAACCCAAGUCUCAGUGAAGGGCUCAGGGAUGUCCUUCAUAACCCUGGAUGAGCUUAAGGAAAUAGGUUCUAGGAUAGAGCUUAAAUUCCACGCGUCGGGGAAUGCACUAAGAUUUUGAGGGAGCAAAGUAAAGACUGGUUGGAGCACCCUGGUCCAGUCUCAUCAGAGAAAUUUUUCUGUAAUUGAUUAGCAAUGUCUGGCACAGCCCCUGGAGGAAUCAGCACACUCAAGGGUACAUGAGAGCCAUAGGCAGCCUGAUCAAGGAAGCAAGGGCUUCUACUCCAUUGCCAGCCUUAAAGACUGGCUGGAGCACCCCGAGAUCCGGUCUCAUUAGAGAGAUUUUUCUGUAACCAAUUAGCAAUGCCUGCCACGGCUCCUGAGGGGGAACCGGCACACACUCAAGGAUACAGGAUAGCCAGCCUGAUCACCCUCAAACUGUGAGCCCAAAGAACGCCUUCCGUCCUUGGAUUGCUUCAGCCAAGAACUAGCCCAGCCUACCAGUCAUAGCCAGCUUCUCAGCCUUGACUUUCCUAUGGAGAGCAUCUAAUCGUACAUACGGGAGCUGACCCUACGCUGCUGGCUCUGAUCACGGCUUUACAAGAACUUCCCAGACCGUAGCGGUCCAAACGCUUUCCAAGGUGUGCACCAGCCUGGACACGGCUUCCUGGUGGUGUGGCUGGCUCCAUGCCCAACUUACCACAAGGGGCCAAGCGACGGCAGCCUAACUGUAAUUAGUAACACGUGAUACUGGUACAGAGACAAAACCUGGAGACCCAAGGCACAGGCGUAGAACGGAGGCAAAAGGCGUUUGACCCUGGCAAUGACGAGGCACUACACAGUACACAGAGGGCUGGUGAGAUGCCUAUCCUUAAGUGCUGGGACUUGGAGGAUGUUUUUCUGAAGGUGAGGUGGGCUCUUCGGGAGCAUGUCUUGCACAAACUGGAACCUGAUCAGGCUGGCUAAUGGUGGUGUGGGGAGGAUUGAAAAGGUAUGUCUUGCUAAAUUCUCCCACCAUACACCCCACUGUGGCUAAAUUGCCCCCACCACACGCCCUGCUAUGGCUAAGCCCCCCCCCCCGCCCCCAAUAAUCCCAGCAGCUAUGAAGGAGGCAGAUCCCAGCUCUGGAUCCCUCCUCUCUUUUGGGGUCUGAUUCUUUGCUUGAGACUUUUGCUUUGAAUAAACUCCAACUUCACUUGACUUUCAAACUCUGUCUUGCCUUCUGAUUC